rnacentral:rRNA from 1 species
GUGCUUCUGAUGCUUAUUGCACCACAUGUGUUUUUCUUUGAAACAAACUUGCUUUGGCGGUGGGCCCAGCCUGCCGCCAGAGGUCUAAACUUACAACCAAUUUUUUAUCAACUUGUCACACCAGAUUAUUACUAAUAGUCAAAACUUUCAACAACGGAUCUCUUGGUUCUCGCAUCGAUGAAGAACGCAGCGAAAUGCGAUACGUAAUAUGAAUUGCAGAUAUUCGUGAAUCAUCGAAUCUUUGAACGCACAUUGCGCCCUCUGGUAUUCCGGAGGGCAUGCCUGUUUGAGCGUCGUUUCUCCCUCAAACCGCUGGGUUUGGUGUUGAGCAAUACGACUUGGGUUUGCUUGAAAGACGGUAGUGGUAAGGCGGGAUCGCUUUGACAAUGGCUUAGGUCUAACCAAAAACAUUGCUUGCGGCGGUAACGUCUACCACGUAUAUCUUCAAACUUUGACCUCAAAUCAGGUAGGACUACCCGCUGAACUUAAGCAUAUCAAUAAGCGGAGGAA